rnacentral:RNase_P_RNA from 1 species
CCAGUCGGCCGUGCGACCGCUCCCGCCACAUGUCGAAAGACGGCGGGGGAGGAAAGUCCGGGCUCCACGGAGAAACGGUGCCGGAUAACGUCCGGCGGGGGCGACCCCAGGGAAAGUGCCACAGAGAACAGACCGCCCCGCCUUCAGUGCGGCUUGCCGGCCUUCCGCCGGGCCAAGCCGCAGUGAUGGCGGGGUAAGGGUGAAACGGUGGGGUAAGAGCCCACCGCGCUUCCGGCAACGGCGGCGGCACGGCAAACCCCACCGGGAGCAAGACCGAAUAGGGACGACGCGGGACCUGUCGCAAGGCAGGCACCAGCCCUUCUCCGGGCCGGUCGUCCGGGUGGGUUGCUCGAGGCGGCGCGCAAGCGCCGUCCCAGAGGAAUGGUCGCACGGCGGCUUCAUCGCCGCUCGACAGAACCCGGCUUACAGGCCGACUGGCAUC